UUAACACCCUAGCUAGUGAAAGGAAUCCAAUCCUCGUGGGUUCGACAACAUUUCUUAAUCUCUAUACUAUUACUUGUACCCCUUAUACUUGAGGGUGGCUAUUUGGCUAACAUUAUCACAAGCUAUAGUCCAUUAGAACUUUGUCACGGGACUCCAUUGGGAGAUGACAGACUGCGUGUUUUUGUUUAUGCUGCUUUGGAGGAAAAGGCUAUGAUUCCAUUUGCUGUAGAAGAUGAGAUCACGACAGUGAAACAAGCUAUGGGGAGCGGAAAAAACUGGUGCUAAAGCAAGUAGGAAGCAGAAAAGGAAUCAGCUUACACAAGAUUCAGAAGAAGAGUUUGAUUUGCAGUCACUCGAAUCACGGUUACCACCCGAAUUGCAGACGUUAUGUCAAUGAGGAAAAGAAUGGUUCAAAGAUGGAAAAGUUGUUUGCUUUUAUAAAGAAGAGCUUGUGUUUGGUAUUAAUGCUAAGAGCUAUCUACUUGACUUAGAUGUGAUGAGGCUUACAAACAUGGCAGAGAUAACAGGAACCCUCAUAAUGCUGCACAUGAGGUACUUGCAUGAUGUAUCAAAAGAGUUCAAAAUGCUAGACAUAGUUGGUUUCAUCGACCCUGCAAUGACUGGUGAGAAAGGGUGUGGGAGUGCAACAUCGAGGCCCCGAAGUAUAAAAGAUCGCCUCAUAAGUGCUUCUCCAAAUCAGAUUUUCUUGUUACCUUACAAUGCAUAGAAACAUUGCCUGGUGGAACUCUUGGAAACAGCAAUGAUGGAGUCAUAAAAUAAAGCAUUA